rnacentral:rRNA from 14 species
AUUAUAGCUCCCCUAGAGUCUGGUAGGUUUGUUGCUGUUAAACAAGUAGUAAUUUCUUUGUAUGUUUGUGAACUGAUAACAAUGUUUUUGUUUAAAAGUGAAAAGAUCAUAAUCUUGUAUUAAUUUUGAGAUUUUUUUGAAUUUUUGUA